AUACUUACCUGGCAGGGGAGAUACCAUGAUCACGAAGGUGGUUUUCCCAGGGCGAGGCUUAUCCAUUGCACUCCGGAUGUGCUGACCCCUGCGAUUUCCCCAAAUGUGGGAAACUCGACUGCAUAAUAA
rnacentral:snRNA from 1 species